rnacentral:lncRNA from 1 species
GAAAGAAGGUUUUCUGGCUCGGCCUGGGUAGAUCGGUGCUGUGCACCUUCACCUGGCGUUGGCUGAUUUUUUUCCCAUUUGACUGUCUUUAGAAGAAAGAAAAGGUAAGGCGAUACAGCUGCCUCGCGCACUCUUUCGGUUCUCUUCAGUCAGUUCCGUCAGCUUGCAGCGAGAAAAUCAAGCCGGAAUCAACUAAGUUUUUACUCUUCUAUGGGGUUUUGUGUGCUUGUAGUACCGGGUAUUUUUCAACCAAAGUGUGCCAGAUUUUUUCAGUUAUUUCGUCGUGAAAAUGUUUCUCUCGUGAAAUCAUUGAAAUAGCAGCCCUUUACAUACUUUUAGCGUGGGUCCAUCUGGCUUUCUUUCGGUUUUGUUCAGAUAUUCUGUGUAUGAAAUCGCAAAUGAGAGGGAAACGGGUUUGCCAGGAACCAAGAGGAGGGGCUAGGGGAGAUUGUAAUCCUAUAAACCCAGGGAACUGUUGGGCCGAGUGAAACAGGGAUCUCAUUAAUAGUUUUAUCUCUGUUAGGAGAGGCUGAUUUAAAAAAAAAAAAAAAACUUAUCUGAAAAGAAAAUCUGUUAUUAGUACCAGGGCUCUAAAUGAAUUAGGUUUCUGCAUGGACUCUCUUACCAUUCAGGCUCUGAAUAACAAGGCUGUAAAUAACCUAUGGACUGUAAAUAUUUUUUCCAGAGUCUCUUAGAAACAAAGGGGCUGUUUAGAAAGCAACAGAGAAAUGUUAUUCCAGGGGCUUUCCUCUUUGAUUCCGAAGAACACAAGGUCUAUUUAACCGUUCCACACAACAAAACAAAAUUUCGGAUCACUCCACCACGUAGACUAGAAACAUGCCAGUGGGGACGUGAACAUGUAGGAGAACCCAUGUCGGGCAUUCAUUGUUCAUCUGUGUCUAGGGGAGGGGGGCUGCAGUCAAAGCUCCCACUGUCUAGAGUGUUAAAAUGAAACAGUUUUCUCUUUAUUAAGUACCUCCUUGAGACUCCCUCUGCUGGACACUCCGGGUGAGCAUUUUAGAAAGAACUUGGCAUUGAAUUCACAACUGUAAUAGAGGAAUAAAAAUUCCUCUUCCAGGAAGCUGGGGAGGUGGGUCGGGAUGUAUUUUGUCAACCUUGAACAAAGCCACCCUGGGAACUUCAUUGAUUAUGUUGAUUUCAUUUGAAAUCCAUGAGGAAUGUAGGCUAGCCCCCGGGGCUAAGUAAGACCCAGCACAGUUGGUCCUAGGACAUUGUUCUUUUAGUGAUUGUGUCGGAAAAGCAAUUACAGGUGUGUAAAGUGUUACACUGUGGGACUGUGGGGUUCAGAGGUCUCUCUCUGCUUGGAGUUUUACUUUCCAGCCCUCCUCUAUCCCAGGCAACCUAAUUUGUCACCUCCUUUCCAUCCUGGGUUUCCUUGGGCCUUGUCUGUGGGUUCUCUUAAUUGUUCUUUUGUUUGUAGCUUUUUUUCUUCUUUGGGAGCAUCUCUUACAUCUCUAGAAUUCUUUUCCUCCUCUUGCUCAGCACUUCUUCCCCACCAACCCAGAGUUACUCAGCCCAGAGCUCAGGCCUGUCUGGUCUUUUUGAGAGAGACUGUUAGGCAUGCUAUGAGACAGAGAAAUGACCUCCGUAGUCAAGGCCUAUGCUUCCAGUGCCCAUGCUCACUCACAGUGCAGAGUAUGGCCAACACUACACUGACCUCUCCCUUGACCCCCAGUGACAAUCUGUGGACUCAGUGAACCUGACUUUUAUCAUAUUUCCACCAGAACCCAGGGACUGUGGGGUGUGUGUGUGUGGUCAUAAAUGAACAGGACUUUUUUUUUUAAUAGACUUCUCCAAAAGAGGGAUUUCUCCUCCUAAUAGUUCCACAUGAUUCUUCUCAGAGGUCUAAUUACACAUGAGACUUUCUAGCUGGAAUUUCUCAAAUGGAGUGUGACUCAGAUUCCGAGUGAAGGCUGGAAUGUAGAAAUCUAGACAGGUGUGCUGUUUUUGAAACAAAGCAUAUUUGAUAAUAGGGAUUAAUAAGUGGCAAAGUGUAACAGUCUUCCAGUACUGUCUUUAAGAGUCGGCUUAUAAAUAUCACAUUAGUUUUCAGUGGCUUGAUACUGAUCAAGUUAAACUUCUUGUAAUAAAGGGGGAUAUUUUCUUAGAAGGUUAAACAUUUGCCUUGUGAUUAUAUUUCUCCAUCAACUUGCUUACCAAGGCUUUUUCAGCAUGUAGUGCAAAAGUCAGUCACAGGGGUCUGUAACUCUGGAUUCCCAACUAGAGAGACCUAAAUUCCAAGUUAACUAUGCCUCACUUGCCUGAGACGUGGCUUGUUGAUCAGUGUGGAGGAAACCAAAGAACCUUUCACAUUCAGACUUGUAAACACUGGCAUGCUGAAGUCCCUCAUCAGAUGGACCCGAAGACACCUGGCCACCAAGAUGCAAACGGAGCAAUAAGAUUAGGAAUCAUCUUCCCUGAAAAGAGGUUUGCAACGAGUAGUCUGUUGUAUCUUUGCCUGUGUUUUUGUCGCACAUUUGUGAAUAACAAAGCAUAACCAUUGUUUACCUUAUUGCUACACCUGAAUAGUGAAUCAAACUCAUUAGUUUUAUCUUUGAAACUAGUCAGGAUGGCAGGACACUCAAAUCAGGGAAAGUGGGGGUUGAAUGAGUUUAUGCCUUUACUUUUCAGAACUUUUAGCCUCUAUUGGAUUGUGUGAGGAUACAGUUAGAACCGAGUCUAUUUAGUAGAGUUCCUGCCUGGAGUAGGCAUUUUCUCAGUAUGUGUUAAAUCUCUCUGUCUUCCUAGUUGUUUACAGGCAUGAUGACUCUAGGGAAAGCAUAACCCUCAAAUAGUUUAGAAAACCAGCAAUAGGAACACUUCAAUUUCAAUUAUUAAUCUCCUGCUAUUCCUUUUCUAGUUUGGGAACCAGCAACAAUAAACCCCCAUAGCCACAGAAGAAAGAACCUUUUUUUCUUCCUCUGUGACCUUUCUGGAGUCUUUAUUCCCAUCAAGCUUCUGCUGGUUUCAAGUAGAGACUGUCUCUUCCAUAGCAGCACUUUUGUGCUACGUUAUAAAUGUACAAACAACCUGGGAGGCAGACUUUCAGGGGCUGCAGCUGUGUCCUGGAAGGCAUCCCUGAGAAUGAACAGCAAGGACCUUAGCAAGGACCCAUUCCUGUACAAGGUGGCAGGCUGGGUAAGGAGUCCCCAAAAGUUCCUUACUGGUUCUUCUCAGAGGAGAGGCUCCUACCCAGCCACAUGUCAGGGGCUGCCUCACUAGGCAAUUAAACAUGAAUUUCUCACCAAAGAAAACUGGGGGCUUUAUGUAAGUUAUAGCUGCUUACAUACUUCAUAUUUUAUGUUUUGUGCUCCUUCAUUUCUUUCUUCCUUUCUUCCGUAGAGAACAGUCUAUGGCUAAGGCUAAGGCUAAGGUGACUUGAGGCUUGUAUGGAGCAAAGUACUGAUGAUCAAGAGCGUAGGACAUGUGCACAGUUUUUAUUGUUCUUUGCUAGUGCUUUCUGGUAGCCUUAGUAUGACGAUUCAGCUGCUUGGGGUUGCAGUCAAAGGCUGGCUUCGGAAUAAUGCCAGCAGACUUGUGUGACCACUCAGAGUUCGAACUUGAAAGGCCCACACUCACAAUAGCUCCAUUUCAUGCGACAAUACUUUGUGGAAGGAGAAAGGAGGAAAAAAAAAAAACCCAGAAAAUUGAAAACCCAGAGUACAGGAAGAUCUUUAUUUUUUUCUUUAAAAGAAGCUGAGAAGCUUGCAGGUUGAUGAUGGUGAUUAUGACUUAGACCGAGAUUUGGGUCAUGUACUUUCUGCUCUUUCUACUCGCUGAACUCCCUGUUUGUUCCCUCACUCGGCAGACCAGGCGCAUCUGUCGUGCACUCAGUCAGCAAACAUUCACAAAGGCUCUGCUGUGGCCUGGGCCUCGUGGCAGGUUCUGCGUUUAGAGAAAUGACAAAGACUUGGCCUCUGACCUCUGGGAGUUCAGGAAUAGGGGAAGUGAAAGUCAAAAUAUUUAAACUCAUACAGAUUCACUGGGCAGUGUGUCUGACCCAGAUGAAAUGCUUGUUUUGUUUGUUUUUGUGUAUGACAGUUCUUACAUACUCUUGUCUUCUUAAGGUACAAAGGGAAGACCCCAAUUUCUCUUUUAUAUUGAAAUGUUUUCUUUAGUUGAACUUAAUUUUUUAAAUGAAUUUCAAAGCUUCUCAUUACAGAUUUCCUUAGAAAUUAUUUAAAUAUCACAACCUCUUUUGCAGAGGAUGCUGUUUUCCUCUUUCAUUAUUUAACUUUUUUUUCUUUUUUGGUUUUUCAUGACAGGUUUCUCUGUGUAACCCUGGCUGUCCUGGAACUCACUCUGUAGAUCAGGCUGGCCUCGAACUCAGAAAUCCCUGCCUCUGCCUCCCAAGUGCUGGGAUUAAAGGCGUGCGCCACCACUGCCCGGCUUCAUUAUUUAACUUUUAUUGUGUAUCCUCAUCAGUGCAAAUACUGUUCUCACAUGCACAUGCUGCUGGGGUACCUCUGCUUUUUACAUUUAGAGUUGAAGAUUGUGUUGUGAGUGGGUCUCACAUCCAUGAGUGCCUGUUGGAGAAUUCCUUCCUGGCUUCACCAUCUCACUUGUCUUCCAGACAGUCAUGUGGUGGGGACUCACUGGUGAACAUAGAUGGGUCGUCACACAGUAGUUAUUUCCCAGGAGGAGGUCAUUCUGGGAAAAGUCUGGCUGUGCCCUUAAGUCAGGAACAUAGAGCCUCGGAGCAGGAGUCUCUGAGAAGUGAAAGCUGCCUCCCUGCCCUCAGCAGAAUCACCUGGGAGGGGGCUAAGGGGAUAUGCCUUUGUCUAAUCCUAUAGUAGACGGCAGCCUUCCUAGUCCCUUUGUAGCUACUGAGGAAAGAACACCCCCUCUCUUUUUCCUGCAGCUGUGUCCUGAAAGGUAUUCCUGAGAAUGAGAGGUGACCUUUGCCCUUAGCAAGGACUCAUUCCCUGAUUUGAAUCUUCAGCUCACUGGUAGCUAUUAUUCAGGAGAGAACAUUAGCAAUUCCUCAUUAACCAGUUCUAGUAGUUCAUGAAUCUGAUGGUACAGAGAUCCUGGGGCCUGCUAUAAAUCUCAUUUGCUUUUGAUCAAAUUGUUUUCUUUUACUUUGUUUCUCUAAAACCUUUCAUAUAUUUGAAGAUAAUAAUUGGACUCCUUACUUCCCCCAACCCCAGAGCCUAUUUUUGCUUCUGAAAUAUCUCCUUUCUCUGUUGUAAACUCUCUAGUUUCUCUCCAUUAAGAAAAAUGGUGGUAAUCAAAUCUAAAUGCAGUUCUUUAAUGAUAAUCUUAUUAGUAUGAAACAUGCAAGAGAAGGACUUUAGGAUUCUCACUUCCUGGGAAAUUUCUGGAGAGCAAGAGCCAUGUCUGAUUCAUCUUUGUGUUCCCAAAUGUAGCUUUACAUUCCUUAACCCUAGUAGGAACUUUAUAAACAUUUGUAGCAUUGACUUCUUUUUAAUGCCAUCUGAGCAAUACUUUACAACAGCGCAGGAUUCAUGGCUUGCACUUAAUUGGAUCCUGAGCCU